AUCAGUUUUAUUUAGAUUGUUAAACUCAACACUACAUUAAAACCGAGUAAAGUUAUUUGAUCUAAGGGCGGGCCUCACCUUCGGGUUAUCAUUUGUGGUACGGAGGAUUACUGCAGAUCAUGUACACUCAAAUCCUGUAUACAGGAGUUUAAAUAGUCCAUUAAUUGAUGCGGCCGGCAUA
rnacentral:sRNA from 1 species